UAAAGGGUGACACCGGCUACGGAUGGCCAUGCGGCGCAUUAGCUAGUUGGCGGGGUAACGGCCCACCAAGGCGACGAUGCGUAGGGGUUCUGAGAGGAAGGUCCCCCACACUGGUACUGAGACACGGACCAGACUCCUACGGGAGGCAGCAGUGAGGAAUAUUGGUCAAUGGGCGCGAGCCUGAGCCAGCCAAGUCGCGUGAGGGAAGACGGUCCUAUGGAUUGUAAACCUCUUUUGUCGGGGAGCAAAAGACGCCACGCGUGGCGUUCCGAGAGUACCCGAAGAAAAAGCAUCGGCUAACUCCGUGCCAGCAGCCGCGGUAAUACGGAGGAUGCGAGCGUUAUCCGGAUUUAUUGGGUUUAAAGGGUGCGCAGGCGGAAGAUCAAGUCAGCGGUAAAAUUGAGAGGCUCAACCUCUUCGAGCCGUUGAAACUGGUUUUCUUGAGUGAGCGAGAAGUAUGCGGAAUGCGUGGUGUAGCGGUGAAAUGCAUAGAUAUCACGCAGAACUCCGAUUGCGAAGGCAGCAUACCGGCGCUCAACUGACGCUCAUGCACGAAAGUGUGGGUAUCGAACAGGAUUAGAUACCCUGGUAGUCCACACAGUAAACGAUGAAUACUAAUUGUUCGGGGAGAAUGAUCCCUGA
rnacentral:rRNA from 1 species